rnacentral:tRNA from 1 species
UGUGUUGUAGCUCAGAGGAAGCAGCACCCGCUCUAUUUAAUACCCCGCAGGGGCGUGAUAGGGACAAGCGGGAGGUCGCCGGUUCAAAUCCGGCCAGCACAG